GACGAACGCUGGCGGCGUGCUUAACACAUGCAAGUCGAACGGAAAAGCCCUGCUUUUGUGGGGUGCUCGAGUGGCGAACGGGUGAGUAACACGUGAGUAACCUGCCCCUGACUUUGGGAUAACUUCAGGAAACUGGGGCUAAUACCGGAUAGGAGCUCCUGCUGCAUGGUGGGGGUUGGAAAGUUUCGGCGGUUGGGGAUGGACUCGCGGCUUAUCAGCUUGUUGGUGGGGUAGUGGCUUACCAAGGCUUUGACGGGUAGCCGGCCUGAGAGGGUGACCGGCCACAUUGGGACUGAGAUACGGCCCAGACUCCUACGGGAGGCAGCAGUGGGGAAUAUUGCACAAUGGGCGGAAGCCUGAUGCAGCAACGCCGCGUGCGGGAUGACGGCCUUCGGGUUGUAAACCGCUUUCGCCUGUGACGAAGCGUGAGUGACGGUAAUGGGUAAAGAAGCACCGGCUAACUACGUG
rnacentral:rRNA from 1 species